GAAAUGCGAUACGUAAUGUGAAUUGCAGAAUUCAGUGAAUCAUCGAAUCUUUGAACGCACAUUGCACUCUCUGGUAUUCCGGAGAGUAUGCUUGUUUGAGUAUCAGUAAACACCUCAAGUCUCUUCUCUAGGGAAGAGAAUUGGACUUGAGCAAUCCCAACUCUUUGCAAAAAGGGGCGGGUUGCUUGAAAUGCAGGUGCAGCUGGACAUUCUUCUGAGCUAAAAGCAUAUUUAUUUAGUCCCGUCAAACGGAUUAUUACUUUUGCUCUAGCUAAUAUAAAGGUCGAAUGCGCUAUAUGCUGACUGAUGCAGGAUUACCAAGUUUUACUAGCUAAAACUUGUAAACUCGAUCUCAAAUCAAGUAAGACUACCCGCUGAACUUAA
rnacentral:misc_RNA from 1 species